CACCGCCUGCCUGAUGCGCGAAUUGUGUUCAUAUAACCCUACAAUCGAUAUUUUGGGAGCUUUGCUCCCGCGGCGGAUUGCAGACCUCCCGCUAAGCGGACGAAGGGAGCGUGAACCCGCGGGGAGAGCACCCACCUGCUUUUGUGUAGGCAGGUUAUCAUCAACCAAUACGGUCCGGCGGGCAACAA
rnacentral:other from 1 species